rnacentral:lncRNA from 1 species
UCCGGCCGGCGGGUGGAGGUGGUGGAGCUUGGCGAUACCGUCGUGGAGGGUGGGACUGCGGGGGUGCGGGUUGGAGUCCGGGGCGGGUCGUCGUUUGAAGUAACGGCGCCAAAUGAUGAAGAUUAGGAUGGAGAAGAGGACAAUGGAUGAGGUUAUGAGAAGGAUAUGCUCCCAAACUUGCAUUUUCUACUUGACUUGUUCACCUGUUUGAUUCUGUUGGUGGCGGAGAAAGACGAAGAAGAAGAAGAAGAAGAAGAAGAAGGAAUAAAAAGUAAAGGGAAGGAGAAAUGUCGAACCUUUAUUUACAUUUUUGUUUCUGGGUUUCCUUUUCUAAGCAAGCAUUGACGUUUUCUUCCAUAAAUGAAUUUUGUUGGUGAGUGGAAUGUCAAAACUCAAAACAGUCUUCUGUGAUUUUGUUGUUGAUUCAACGCUGGUUUUUGCAGAAGCUAAAGAGGCAGACACAGGCAGGCAUUCUUGAAUGAAAUUACUUGGAGGCACAUCUAGAAGGUGGGGGAAGACAAAGUCCAACACGACGAUUAUAAAAGGGAGCAGCAUUCUUUUUUUCAAUUGAUUUGUGAGGUCAGAGGAUUACGAUUAUGUCAAUUGUUUUAUUGCUCCUGCACUCUCAUUCCAUAUAAAUAUUUUGAUACUUUGAAGGAUUAAGGAACUAAUCAUUAUUUUAGGUGAUUAUCAUUAUCACCCACUAGAUACUAUAUUCAUAUUCUUUGUUAUGAGCAUCUCCUUAAAAUGCUUGUCCACUAGGACCCAAUCGUCGAGGCGUGUACAUUUCCCUUUGGUCCUCGCGACAUUGCCUCCGUGUUGUCUGGAGGACAUUCACGUUUGAGAUGUUCUUUCGUCGAGUAGUUGUGGGACUAAUCUUGCGGUGGAUCACGAGGCGAAGCAUCCUCAUUUCUUGCUCAAUGGUUUCCUUGCCUAUUAUAAAAUGCAACCGUC